rnacentral:rRNA from 1 species
AUGCCUGUACCAUAACCGACACAGGUGGGUAGGUAGAGUAUACUAAGGGGCGCGAGAUAACUCUCUCUAAGGAACUCGGCAAAAUGACUCCGUAACUUCGGGAGAAGGAGUGCCUUAUUUAUAAGGUUGCAAUAACAAGAUCCAAGCAACUGUUUAUCAAAAACACAGGUCUCCGCUAAGUCGUAAGACGAUGUAUGGGGGCUGACGCCUGCCCAGUGCCAGAAGGUUAAAGAAGUUGGUUAGUGUAUGCGAAGCUGAUGACUGAAGCCCUGGUGAACGGCGGCCGUAACUAUAACGGUCCUAAGGUAGCGAAAUUCCUUGUCGGGUAAGUUCCGACCCGCACGAAAGGCGUAAUGAUUUGGAUACUGUCUCGGAGAGAGGCUCGGUGAAAUAGACUUGUCUGUGAAGAUGCGGACUACCUGCACCAGGACAGAAAGACCCUAUGAAGCUUUACUGUAACUUGAAAUUGGAAUUGGACUUUGCUUGCGCAGUAUAGGUGGGAAGCGUUGAAGAUAUUCUUGCGGGAGUAUUGGAGCUAUCAGUGAGAUACCACUCUUGUAAUGUUAGAUUUCUAACUUUGAACCAUAAUCUGGUCAAAGAACAGUUUCAGGUGGGCAGUUUGACUGGGGCGGUCGCCUCCCAAAUGGUAACGGAGGCGUACAAAGGUUUCCUCUGAACGGAUAGAAAUCGUAUCUAGAGUGUAAAGGCAUAAGGAAGCUUGACUGUGAGACCUACAAGUCGAGCAGGGACGAAAGUCGGUCUUAGUGAUCUGACGGUACUGAGUGGAAAGGCCGUCACUCAACGGAUAAAAGUUACUCUAGGAUAACAGGCUGAUCUCCCCCAAGAGUUCACAUCGACGGGGAGGUUUGGCACCUCGAUGUCGGCUCAUCGCAUCCUGGGGCGGUAGUACGUCCCAAGGGUUGGGCUGUUCGCCCAUGAAAGCGGUACGCGAGCUGGGUUCAGAACGUCGUGAGACAGUUCGGUCCAUAUCCGGUGUAGGCGUUAGAAUAUUGAGAGGAGCCUUCUUUAGUACGAGAGGACCGAGAAGGACACACCGCUGGUGUACCAGUUAUCGUGCCAACGGUAAACGCUGGGUAGCUAUGUGUGGAGUGGAUAACCGCUGAAAGCAUCUAAGUGGGAAGCCCACCUCAAGAUGAUUGCUCUCACAGGGUUAACCUGGUAAGGUCACGGGAAGACCACCCGUUGAUAGGCACUCGGUGGAAGUCCAGCAAUGGAUGAAGCC